GACGAACGCUGGCGGCGUGCUUAACACAUGCAAGUCGAACGGUGAAGGGGUCUGCUUUUGUGGGCCCUGGAUGAGUGGCGAACGGGUGAGUAACACGUGAGUAACCUGCCCCCUUCUUCUGGAUAACCGCAUGAAAGUGUGGCUAAUACGGGAUAUUCUGGGUCUGUCGCAUGAUGGGUCUGGGAAAGAUUGCGCCUUUGGGUGUUUUUGGUGGGGGAUGGGCUCGCGGCCUAUCAGCUUGUUGGUGGGGUGAUGGCCUACCAAGGCGGUGACGGGUAGCCGGCCUGAGAGGGUGGACGGUCACACUGGGACUGGGACACGGCCCAGACUGCUACGGGAGGCAGCAGUGGGGAAUAGUGCACAAUGGGCGCAAGCCUGAUGCAGCGACGCCGCGUGAGGGAGGGAGGCCUUCGGGUUGUAAACCUCUUUCGCCAGUGAAGCAGGCCUGCUCCUUGUGGGUGGGUUGACGGUAGCUGGAGAAGAAGCGCCGGCUAACUACGUG
rnacentral:rRNA from 1 species